AUGAACGGCGGCAGCAGCGGCAGGGGCGGGGGAGGCGGAGGGGGAGGGUACGAGAGCGGGAGCGACCAUGACGCGCGGAAGCAGCCGCUGCUGGUGAACACGGGGAGCUGGUACAGGAUGGGGUCGCGCCAGUCCAGCCUCACGGCGGGGACCUCCUCCAUGGCCAUCAUGCGGGAGUCGCACGUCUCGGCCUUCCUCUGCACCAUGAUCGUCGCGCUCGGCCCCAUCCAGUUCGGCUUCACCGGCGGCUUCUCCUCCCCCACCCAGGCCGCCAUCAUCCGCGACCUCAACCUCUCCAUCUCCGAGUUCUCGGUGUUCGGCUCGCUGUCCAACGUCGGCGCCAUGGUCGGGGCCAUCGCCAGCGGGCAGAUGGCCGAGCACAUUGGCCGCAAAGGGUCACUGAUGAUCGCUGCUAUUCCUAACAUCAUCGGCUGGCUUGCCAUCUCCUUCGCAAAAGACACUUCUUUCCUGUAUAUGGGACGAUUGCUUGAAGGAUUUGGGGUCGGUGUCAUAUCCUACACGGUGCCAGUAUACAUAGCAGAGAUUUCUCCUCAGAACAUGAGAGGCGCCCUAGGCUCUGUGAACCAGUUGUCGGUAACGAUUGGUAUCGUGUUGGCCUAUAUUCUCGGCAUGUUUGUUCCUUGGAGGAUGCUUGCAGUGAUAGGAAUCUUGCCAUGCACAAUAUUGAUACCAGGCCUAUUCUUCAUCCCAGAAUCUCCAAGAUGGCUGGCAAAGAUGAACAAGAUGGAGGAUUUCGAAACCUCGCUACAAGUUUUGAGGGGAUUUGAGACUGACAUCACCUCAGAAGUGAAUGACAUAAAGAGGGCCGUAACAUCAGCAAACAAAAGGGCGGCGAUCCGUUUCCAGGAGUUAAACCAAAAGAAGUUCCGCAUGCCCCUGAUUCUAGGAAUUGGCCUGCUUGUUCUACAACAGCUAAGCGGAAUCAACGCUAUACUGUUCUACGCAAGUAGUAUCUUCAAAGCUGCAGGUAUUACAAACAGUGACUUGGCCACAUGUGGACUUGGAGGUAUUCAGGUUCUUGCCACUCUAGUUACAACCUGGUUACUAGACAGGGCUGGCCGGCGUAUCCUACUCAUCAUAUCUUCUGCUGGGAUGACUAUAAGCCUUCUUGCGGUUGCCGUCAUAUUUUUUAUCAAGGACACUGUUUCACAAGAUUCUCAUAUGUAUUACAUAUUGAGCAUGGUCUCCUUGCUUGCUAUUGUGGCUUAUGUUAUCGCCUUCUCCUUUGGUAUGGGCGCCAUUCCAUGGGUCAUAAUGUCUGAGAUCCUUCCGGUGAGCAUCAAGAGUCUUGCAGGAAGCUUCGCGACGCUUGCCAAUUGGCUCACUUCCUUUGGGAUAACGAUGACAGCAAACUUGCUGCUCAGCUGGAGUGCUGGAGGUACCUUUGUGUCCUAUAUGCUUGUGAGCGCCUUUACACUCGUGUUCGUCAUCCUCUGGGUGCCGGAAACCAAGGGAAGAACGCUCGAGGAGAUACAGUGGUCAUUCCGCUGA
rnacentral:rRNA from 1 species